rnacentral:snoRNA from 1 species
AGCCUUAAUGAUGAGUUGCAUGUCAGUCCGUGUUUCACCUGAGACUCAUGAUUAUUACUUCACUGCACUGAUGGGGUU